GGAAGUAAAAGUCUAAAAGGUUUCCGUAGGUGAACCUGCGGAAGGAUCAUUAUUGUAUAACCGAGGUGCGAGGGCUGUCGCUGACCCGAAAGGUCGUGCACGCCCGAGUGCCCUCACACACAUCCAUCUCACCCCUAUGUGCACCACCGCGUGGGUCCCCCUUUGGCUUGUUCGGAGGGGGGCUUACGUUUUCACACAAACUUUGUAUGCAGUGUAGAAUGUAUUUUUUGUUUUUGCGAUCACGCAAUCAAUACAACUUUCAACAACGGAUCUCUUGGCUCUC
rnacentral:misc_RNA from 1 species